rnacentral:rRNA from 1 species
UUUCCGUAGGUGAACCUGCGGAAGGAUCAUUAAUGAAUUCACUUUUGAAGUUGUUGCUGGCCUCUAGGGGCAUUUGUGCACGCUUCAUUAGUCUUUCAAACCACCUGUGAACCUUUGAUAGAUUCGUCUCUUCAAGUUUGGCGCUAAGUCCGAAUAGGGGUUUUGCCCCUGUCGGCGGCUGACUUGGACGAUUCUAUAUCUUACAUACCCCUAAACGAAUGUCUACGAAUGUUAUUGAUUGGGCCAUGUGCCUAUAAAUCUUAAUACAACUUUCAACAACGGAUCUCUUGGCUCUCGCAUCGAUGAAGAACGCAGCGAAAUGCGAUAAGUAAUGUGAAUUGCAGAAUUCAGUGAAUCAUCGAAUCUUUGAACGCACCUUGCGCCCUUUGGUAUUCCGAAGGGCAUGCCUGUUUGAGUGUCAUUAAAUUCUCAAAUCURCAAAGUUUGCGCUUUGUAACGUUUGGGAUUGKUGGGGGUUGGUGGCUUGGAACCGAAUCCGCGUCCCUUUAAAGGCCUUAAACGGGAUUUGGUGCCUUCGCCAUUUGGGGGGAUAAUUAUUUACCGCCCAAACGCCUGGCCAAUGGAUCCAUGAAUUCCAGCUUUUUAAUUCCGUCCUGGUUCCAAGGACAAUUACUUGACCAUUUGACCUCAAAUCAGGUAGGACUACCCGCUGAACUUAA